GAUGCGCGGCCCCGCGCCGCUGUGCACCCUGGCGCGUGUGCGACGUGCGGGCCGCGGCGCCCUCCCUCGCUCGGGGCCGGCCGCUUCCGCGCGCUGCCGCCCCGGUCUCCACCUCCCGCUCCUCCCUCUCCUUCGCGCUCGCUCUUCUGGCCUGGAGGCCCGACGGAGGUCGCCGGGCUGGGGAAAGUGGCCACGGGUCCCGGCAGACCUGCUCGCCUGACUCCCGGGGCGCGGGGAGGUGCGGGCGCGGAGCCUCCCAAGGUCACGCCCGACUCUCCGUCUCUAGCCGCUGCCUUCCCUCUCCCCGUCCCCCGCCCCUCCCGAGGCGUCUGACAUUUGCCUUAACCUUGCAGCCUUGGAAGAUACGGUUACGGCGCAGAGUGCUGUCGCCUUAAGCAGGAAAGGUUGGGAAUAAUACAUACCCGGAGAGCCUGUUGUGAGGAUUAGAUGAAACAACAUAUUUACAAAUACCUCACUUGGAAACUUCGAAUGAUAGGAGCAUACAAUCUUUUGGGGCAGAUAAGACAGAAGAAACGCAUAGACAUACGAAGAACAGAAUUAGAAAACAUGCUGAGCUCAGCGAGAGAGAGAACAUUUUGGAUUGGGAAAGAAGAGGUGCCUGCACCUAAAACCAAUUAUGUCUUGAUGAGCGGAUAGUGUGCGAUAGAAGAUGGGGCUGCUCUUCAGGAAGGGGACCUGCCGAGAGAAGUGAGAAAGAGGGAAUAGGCAGGACUCUUUUUUAGAGCCGGACACUUAGUCACUAAACAAUCUUUGUUACAUAAAAUACUUAAAUCCGCUUGCUUGGGAGUUUUUCUUUCUUGGCUUCACUAAUGCUCUUGGUGAAACAUCUUUUUCCUUUUUCUUUCUUUUUUAAUCAAAUCUAAUGCUCAUGAAAUUUUGUAGAAUAAAAAAAAUUCUCCCUUUUUGAGAUAGAGGGUUUGUUUUGUUUUUGUAAACAAGAUAACAUAGGGAAGAGUGCUCUGCUGUUUUGGAAAGAGUGACUCAUUCAAUAAAUAUUUAUUGAGCCCCUAUUAGGUUCUUGGUACUACGGAUACAACAGUGAAUUGAACAAAGUUUCUGCUCUACAGAGCUGUGGGGUUCUCGUUGAGCCUGACAGAUGAUAAACCUGUCAAAUGAAGAUAAGUUCUCUGAAGAAAAAUAAAACCCAGUAAAGGGGACAGCAUUAGAGGAUGGGCUGCUCUUUUUAGUGCAGCAAUUGGGAUGUCUGAUAAACCUCAUGAGAGCAGAGACCUGAAUGAAGUGAAGGAGUGAGCCAUGCAGAUAUCCGUGAAAAGACUUCCAAACAGAGGAAGAGUUAGAUGGAAAGGAUAAACACAUAUAAUCAUUUAAUGUUAUAAAAUUAUGCCUCAGGUAAAUAAAUGUAGCAUACAUUUUAUUGUACAAAGGGUCCCAAUAUACUGUGACAUUUUGCAUAUAGAUUAUAAGUAUUAUUCUAUUAUAAAUUUAUCUUGGGAUAAUAAGAUGUGUAAUCAACAUUGAUCAAAUAUUUAACAAUAAUUUUUUUCUCUCUUGGACUCUAGGAUAGGGAAAACUUUUCAUCUACCCUCCUAGGUUAUAUACUGGGGGCUUGCAAAUUAAAUGUAAAAGACAAAUGAGCAACAAAAAGACAUUUGUGGGAGUUUACAGAAAAAUGUGACAGGAGGCAGUUAGACUUGGGGGCCUAUACAUCAUCUCAGUAGGGGAAGGCGGAAGAGGAGAAGAGCAUUUGCUGGAAACCACGACUUUAGGAGAGAUAAAUCAGCCCUUAAGAGAAUAGAUAGGAGAUGUGGUAGUUUUAUGCCAGUGUCUAUUUAGUUAUGAUAAUGAGUCGAUCUUCCCUGAUUGUGAAACUCCAGAGUUCCUUUGGGGCACGCUGCUUUUAAGACAGAUGAAGGAGUUUAGUAAAAAGCCUAUUUUUAAAUGACUGUGGCUCAAAAUAAUUUUUAUGUCACAGUGGUAUAGUCUGGACCCCUUUAGACUUUAGAAGAGCUUUCAGCAGAUUGAUUUGAGUGAGCUACACUUCUAAGAAAGUGAAGCAGGAAAGUUUGAACUGAUCCCUUUAUUCUCCUCCAAGUUCCCUUGAGGCCCACACAGACAUAGCCAGUUAUUCUGCUGACUUUGAAGCUGUGCUCACAGUUGGGAUCCACCUUUGAAAAAUGGCUCCUGAGUGUGUUAAGUAAGUAAUGGCUAGCCGAGGGCUUCAGUUGGGAGGACUGUGGAGAAGACUUUUCUCCCCUGGGGUCCUCAAAGGGGAAAGAAAUCACAAGGGGGCAGCAUAGGGAGUUGUUUGGAAAGGGUGAGAAGGCUGUGCUUAGUGUUGGGAUAUGUGGAUGGAUGUAAGCUGGGUUUUGUUUUGUUUAGUUUUUUAAACUUCAGCUGUUGGAAGUCCUCCUUCCCAUAGCUUCUCCAAAUCACCACUGAGCUGAUUCCCCAAGGCAUAAAGACAGCCCUGAAUUAACACAGUGGGGAAUGCUAAUUAAGUCAUGCCAAUAAAGAUUUAAUCGUGAAUCAGAAACACUUGGAAAAUUAUGUUUUCAUAUUGGAAAGAUGUUCUUUUUUUCUCUAUGAGUACCCCAAAGUGUUUUUGAAGGAUGAAAUGCGAUAGGUGGUAGGACAGAAAUAUUUGGUUGACUUGUCCAGUAUGCUAAUGAUGUUGGAACGGGGACUCCAGUCUUCUGAUAUUUCAUCUGGUUGGUCUUUUCCAUAAAUAAAUAUAUCCCAGAGCAAGUAGUUCUGGGGAUUGUUAUAAUAUCCUGGUUAAUAGCAUGGAGAAACUGGCUUGGGCAAUGUUAAGUAGGAGUUUCAGAGCUUUUAAUAUAUGAGUCCUGAGAGUUUGUAAAAGGACCCCAAACAGAAGAAUUUUGGGAAAUACCAAUCUAUACCAUGCUGGGUUGAUAGGACCAUCUAUAUUAUACAAGAAUCUUCACAGAUUUAAGUUUCUUCUUUUUAAACUGCCAUUAAGGGCAUGCGGGGAAGGUGAAAUUUUGUUUUAAUAUCCAUGUAUACCAUAUGGCUUAUUUUGGCAACUAAUAUAUGAAUUUGUUCUUGGCUGCUUUGAGUGUGAUUGAUUCAGCCCAAUAAGUAUUUUCUAAGCAGGUCACCACAUGUAGAGUUAUGAGGUAAGUGACAAAAGUCCUUCUGACCAAAUAUUAGUCCUGUAUGUUGUACUCCAAUGUGCUCGCAGGCAUCUCUGUUGCUCAAGAGUGGAUUGAAAUGGCUGCUACGUUGUGUGAGUCCAGAGGGCUUAAUCUGCAUGGUGUCAUAGCCAUUUGGGGGCUAAACCGACAAGUGUGAGGAUUGUAAACUGGCAGGGAGCUCAAAAUGAGCUGAUUGGUGAAACUUCAUGGUGAUCUCCUAGGAUGCAGCAGAGAACAAUACAGGCCCAGUCCUCACAUGCUUGGGACUUAAGGUGAAGGUUUGUGUUGGAGGCUAGGUGGGUUACGGACAAGCAGAGAACUGCCACAAGGUGCUGUCAGCACUGGGAUGGAGGUGAGCAAAGGAGGCUAGGAAAGCAUAAAGGAGGCGCGCCUGGUUCCAGCAGAGGGAGUAGGGAAGUGACAACUAAAACCAGACCUGAAGGUGAAGAGCAGAGAGGAAUGUUCCAGGCAGAACCAUAGGUGAGAGAAUUUGGCAUGUUGAAGAGAAAGCUCCCCUCACUGCCCCCCACCUCCGUAUUUUUGUUUCAUACUCUACAAGGAGCAACUGCACUAAAAAUGUACCUCAUGUUUUCUAUUUUACAAGUUACUGCCACAUGCAUGGCCUUAUUUCCUGUCUACAACAAACCUUUCAGGUGUCCCAGGUCACAAAGUCAGGAAAAGAGCCUGGGAACUGCCCCCACUCUUCCUAGAAUGUAAGGGGUGUUGGGCCAUGUUCCAAAUACCAGGUUCCCACUGAGAGUGGCUGAGGAUAAUGCUAAUCUGGGCAAAGUUUUAAGCAGGAAAUGAGUAUGUGGAGUAGGGAAGUGCGGAGAUCUUGCUAUGUAAGUCAGAGCUACUUUUCUCACUACUGGGUUGAAUUAAAACCAGUUUCUGGAAUCACAGUGUAAAACAAGAGGCAAAAUCCACCUUGAGGCACAUUGGUUUUUAUUCCUUAAAUGUUCCACAUAAAAAAUGAAAACUGAGUCAGUAGAACAGAAUCGUAAGACCAGAUGGCUUCCCAGGAUCAAUGGGGGCAAGCCAUUAACUAUCAUCUAGUUAAUAGAGGAAAUUGCAUUUUACAGUGGGAUGGGUUCUAGAGUUCGAGUGGAAGAUGAAACUUCAGUCAAAAUCAUCUUUAAAGUCCCAUAGGAAAGUACCACAUUGGAGAACAACAUGUAACACAACAGGUAUGUCUUUAAAUAGCAGAAGUGCACUCAAGAUACCCAUACUUUGAGAAGCACGUGGGGACUAAGACUUAGCAAGGGCCUGUGGUCACUGGGUGAAAUGGUGGCAGAAUUGCCCAUGCUGUUUAAAUUUCACUCUUGUCUUCUUUGUCUCCCUGGAAGUUCUAUAUACAACAGUUACAUUUGUGCAAGAUAAAUGCUUGUAUGAUGUGACUACACUGCACAUUCUUGAUGCUACUCAGAGUGCACAUAUGAGAAUCAUCUCAAUCAUGAUUCAUCACCUGCAACUUGGAGCACUUAUGCCCUGUGCCUUUCUACCGGGCUUAUAUUUGAAAUCUCAGAUUUCCCUGUCAAGGCUUGGUCUUACCGCUGCAGAUCUGUUUGGACCACUCUGAAAGAGUAUACUUUGAGGUGCCUUCCAAAGUGAAUUUGAUGUACACCAUGUAGCCUAUAAGGAAUUUUUACGAUUUUAUAGGUUCAGUCAGCUGUUGUAACAGACACUCAAAACAACAGUGGAUUAAACAAGAUGUUUUUCUGUCUUGUGGAAUAUUCUGGGUCAGCAGGCCAAGACUAGCAUGAUGGAUCCAUGAUGUUGGGACCCAGCCUCUUUAAUCCUGUUGCUCUGCCAUCUUGAAGGUGUUGCCCUUGCCCAUCUGGUUGCAGAUGGCUUCUACUACCACAUCCAUGUUUCAGCUAGUGGGCACAGGGGAGAGAUGGGGCAGAGUGUCUUCCCCCUUCAAAAUCAGGAAAUUGCAUACCUGACUAUUGCUCACAAUCCACUGGGGAGAUCUAACAUGCAGGCCACAUUUACUUGCAAGAAGGGCUGAAAAUGUAGACUCUAUGUUGAGAGGCAUAUAGCCCCCUGAAAAUGAGUGGUUCUGUUACCUUAAAGAAGAGAAGGAACACUAGAAAUAUGUGCCAUGGUCCACCUCUUUGGCCAUGAAGACAGCCAUGCCCAUUGUUCUUCCUGCCCAUUGAAACACAGCACUCCUUUCCAGUGGAGGCACCCCAGAUUCCUUCCAGUUACCAGUCAGUACUCAGUGUUCAUAGUUCUCUCCAUCAAGCCCAUGUGUGGCUACUUGUGUAAAGUUAAAGACAAAUUAUCAGGCCCCCUGU